CUGGGCCUACGGGAGGCAGCAGUGAGGAAUAUUGGUCAAUGGGCGGAAGCCUGAACCAGCCAAGUCGCGUGAGGGAAUAAGGCCCUACGGGUCGUAAACCUCUUUUGCCGGGGAGCAAGGGCCGGGACGCGUCCCGGCCCGGAGAGUACCCGGAGAAAAAGCAUCGGCUAACUCCGUGCCAGCAGCCGCGGUAAUACGGAGGAUGCGAGCGUUAUCCGGAUUUAUUGGGUUUAAAGGGUGCGUAGGCGGGCUUUUAAGUCAGCGGUAAAAAUUCGGGGCUCAACCCCGAGACUGCUCUUGGAACU
rnacentral:rRNA from 1 species